rnacentral:rRNA from 1 species
AUCAACUUUCGAUGGUAGGAUAGAGGCCUACCAUGGUGGUAACGGGUAACGGGGCGUUAGGGCACGACACCGGAGAGGGAGCCUGAGAAACGGCUACCACAUCCAAGGAUGGCAGCAGGCGCGCAAAUUACCCAAUCCCGACACGGGGAGGUAGUGACAAUAAAUAACAAUACGGGGUUCUUUCGAAUUUCGUAAUUGGAAUGAGUACAAUUUAAAUCUCUUAACGAGGAACAAUUGGAGGGCAAGUCUGGUGCCAGCAGCCGCGGUAAUUCCAGCUCCAAUAGCGUAUAUUAAAGUUGUUGCAGUUAAAAAGCUCGUAGUUGAAUUUCGGGAUCAGUACGCCGGUCGUGCCUUCGGUAUGCACUGGUGUCACUGGUUUCUCCCUUCUGAAGAACCAUCAUGCCAUUCAGUUGGUGUGGCGGGGAAUCAGGACUGUUACUUUGAAAAAAUUAGAGUGUUUAAAGCAGGCUCGCGCUUGAAUACAUUAGCAUGGAAUAAUGAAAUAGGACGUUUGACCCUAUUUUGUUGGUUUCUAGGAUCGACGUAAUGAUUAAUAGGGAUAGUUGGGGGCAUUAGUAUUCAAUUGUCAGAGGUGAAAUUCUUGGAUUUAUUGAAGACUAACUACUGCGAAAGCAUUUGCCAAGGAUGUUUUCAUUAAUCAAGAACGAAAGUUAGGGGAUCGAAGACGAUCAGAUACCGUCGUAGUCUUAACCAUAAACUAUGCCGACUAGGGAUCGGAUGAUGUUAAUUUUUUAAUGACUCAUUCGGCGCCUUACAGGAAACCAAAGUGUUUGGGUUC